rnacentral:ncRNA from 1 species
GUGCAGCACUGCGGGCGCUAAGGGCAACAUUCUGCACGUUCUGCAGAGCAGACACUUGACAGAUUGUUGCACGAAGCUGAGAAGCACCGCUAUGACUCGAUCAAGAUAAUGCUUGCGUGAGAAAGUGCUGCCGCUUCUGA